GAGAAGGGGACAGAGGAUCCCAAGCAGGCUCUACACCAACAGCCUGACAGCAGCGAGCGGGAUGCGGGACUCAAAGGACCACAAGAUCCUGACCUGAGCUGAAGUCAGACUCUCAACUGACUGAGCCACCCAGGUCAGAUCAGCUCCGUCUGGGCUUGUUCUAAGAAUGGACCGAGUGACAGAAGUGCCAUCAAGAGGGCUGGGGGAACCUGAAGCUUAACCAGAAAGAGCAUCUUAUGGUGGAGAAAGGGGUGAGGAAUGUCUGCAGAUUCUGGACUUUGGACUCAAAUCUCAGCAACUCAGUGGUGUGGUCAGAUUUAGAUUCCCCUGUCUCAGGAGUGGAGUCACAUAUAUAACAGGCCCACAGAUGAUGCCUAAGCUGGAUGUCAGUGUAUAAUUUACCCUGAGCUGAACCAAUAGCAUGUGGCCCAUGUUCAUGGAAGCCAAAGCUCACCCAGAAGUUUGCUCUCAAGCACGGAAGAAGGGAAAUGAAAUCUAUGGUGAGAAUGUGCAGUAGGUCAAACCUUGAAAGCCUAAAGCAGCAGCCUCAACAACAGAGUUUUGUUUCUCCAAGGACUGGUCAGAUGGGGUCUCAGGACUGGGCCCCCUCUCUGUACCAUGCUCCGGUGGGGUGGGGGUGGGGACACUUACUCUUGUGUUCACAUUGCUGAACAACCCUCCUCUGCUGGACCCCCAUCCCACCUAGCUGAUGUGCCUGUCUUCUAUUAAGCUUGCUCUAAUGAAGCUCAACUCUACAGUCAUCUGUCCUGUAGAGGGACUUAGAUGAGUCAAUAUAUGACAUUCAAUUACACAGUCGACUCGGAGCUUCCCUAUGUCUGUGUUCUUGUGAGGAUAGAAGCACCUCUGUUGUGAUGACCUCAGUCUACCUGCGCUCAUAGGUUCAUGGGCACUGGUCUUCUGGAAACCUGUCUACACCAAGAAAUGAGACUGAAAAAUAGGAGCCUCAAUAAAUCACAUGCCAUGGAAAAGUACAGAUCCUUCGAGGAUGUCACCAUUACCUAGGGCUACAAGAAGUCUGCGUGCUGUGUCCUUCAGAAUACUGUCCUUGGACCGGACUGAAGUUUCAGUGUCUCAACAGUCCUGGUCAUACGAUUCCGAAGUCAUGAAGCCACUACUUGGAAUGAACUAUUUAUAAAAUAAGGGAACCCCUCACCCACAGAGUAAGAGUAUGUUUGACAGCAAACGCAUACCUGUGCAGAUGGAUAUUUUCGUUCCAUUAGCUGUGGCCUUCUGGAAGUGAGCAAACUUGGCUGUGGUUUAACUGCCCUUAUUUUAUCUGACAAAACCUACUACCCCUUGCACAGUCCCAACCAGUGGGGGCCGGUUUGACUUCAAGCAUUUUCCACGAAUCAACCACAUUUGACAGAGCACAUAGACCAGAAAAACCCUGAGAAAACAAAACACCAGCCCCUUCCUGCCCCCCACACUGUCCCCUGCACCACCGCCCUCCCCGUCUCUGCACCUGCCAGUCCAGGGCUGCCCAGGUUGGGUUGGGGAAGGGAGGGGCUGAGGAUUGGAAACCACAGGGGACACUGGCUAGGAGUGCCCGGCACUGAAAUCAGCCCACACGGCUUUCAGUCAUUUGCUAGUUUCCCUUGUUUGCCUCUGUGCUUUCCACAUGCAGAAACAGUUCCAGAUCUCUAAGUAGAGGCCCAGGUAUUUGCCCUAAAGAGGUCUGGUCAAAUUCCCGAGAAUCAAGUAGAUGGAAAUUAAAUUUCCUCUUCCUUGUAUCUGGUGGGUCUUGUGUUGUUUCCCCUUGGGAACCUGUAUUUGGUCUCCAAAGCCACCUAUGUCACAGAAACUGAAGCUGAUUGCAAAUAAACAAAAAAAAAAAAUCCUUUCCAAUUUUAAA